UGUGAGUGUAAUGAUAUUAGGCGUGAGUAAUCGUACGAAUAUAUUCAACCACGUAUUUCUACGUCCUUAUAAAUAUUGUUUUCUUAUCCGUUUAAUUAUAUGGUUUAUUUCUUUAAUCGAUGUAUAUAAAGUUAUCAUUUCCUUCUUCAAUAUUCGUAUCAGAUUAUUGGAUCAAUAUUUUUGUCACAUAAGUAACAAAAUACACAUUAAUUUCGCGAGUUAAAUCGGCAGAAAGAAAAGCCACGUGCAGGAAUCAUUUACAAAAUAGUCAAAGAUGAUAUCUCGCGAAGAACGGGAUCAAUUUAACAGGAAUGAUUUUCUAUUUUGGAAAUUUCAUCAGAAAACUAUUUCUGAAUAUGGAAUUGAAGAUCUGAUGGUUGAAAUUCAAAGGUAAGCUAACGUUCCGGAAAAUCAAAAGGUGAGGUAAUGGAUACAAAAAAACGUGCGUAUCGUGUGUCUUAUUUUGUCUUCAAUCGUCUAACGCACAUUAGAAUAUUUGAUUAGGAACUUAAAUGUAUGUGAAUUAUGGAAAAAAAAAAAUAAUUGUUUUAUUUAUGAAAUGAAAAUAAACUCAUAUAAGUUGACGCUAAUGAAGAAGUUUCAUUCUGUUAUGUUUCACGUGUUAAGGGUCAAAGUGAGGUCACAUCAAACGAGAGAGAUCUGAGGAAGAAAAUUAUUGAACUUGUAGAUCUUGUUAUGAUUUUGAAGACAAUUUGCCAACGAUAUAACACAAAUAACAGGUGAUAGCAUUCCAGUAGGUGAUCAAACGAUCAAAAGAUUCCAAGAUAAAUUCAUAAAAGGAUCGGAUGUUGUAAGAAAUGAAAGAGACAUGUACCUUGUCAGCGACAACGACAAGUGAAAUGACGGAAGAAAACAAAAACUGAAAAUGGAAAGCAAAGAAGAAAGUUAUGAUACGAACAGGUAAAAAUAAAUUCUUUAUGUGCAAAUAAUCAAAUAAUUUCGGGAAAUAAUAAGAAAAAAGGAUUAUAAACUGAUAGGUGACGAAUCGAUUAACGCUUUUGUUAUCACUGACGGUAUCAAUCAACGAAGGAAUGUACAAAAAGUGUCGGCAAAAUGAUAUCCUAGAUACAACAAACAGAUAAUGUAGAUACUAGAGUUAUCGAUAAUAUUGGGUCUCGGUAAAUUUUGCACAGCCUUGAAUGAUUUUUUGAAUUAAGACUAAUUAUCUUUUGGUAAGAAUUCGUGCUAUCACACAAGUUUGCUGUUUUUCGAUAAUUAGAAUUAAAAAGUUCAUUAAUAAUAAAUAUGGGACAUUGUACGAGUAAAUAAUAUAACUCUUAGUACGAAAUUAAACAAAAUCUAAUAUUCAAUUGGUAUUUUCAAUUGGUAAUCGAAAUGUUUCUUAGUUAAUUUCGAAGAAAAUUUUGUUUAAAUUUUACGAAACGGAGAAAUAAUGAUUAGUGGCAUCAAAUAGAACAAUAAAAUCUGCCCAGGAUAUUAUAUCCGGAACCGGUAUACAUUGCAGUUUACUCGCUUAACCAAAUGGAAUACGAUGAUCCUGAGAAGAUGACACCGCACGAUGCCUGGCCAAAAGAGAAACCCAGAAUACAAUGACAUAUAAAGCUUCAAUCUCAGCCAUCAAUCAAUCUCAACAAUCCGAUCGAUGAGAAAUUUCAUGAUGGAUGCACCAAUGGAUGCAGAUAAGUUGAUAGAUUUGAUGAAUUAUAUGAACGAGAAAUAACUUGACGAAUUAUUCGAGAUUAUACCGCAAUACGUUUAUCUUGAAGUGUCGUUUGCACGUUUAUACCAACUUUACAGAUAUAUUGAUUAAAAAUUUAUUAAAA